GGGACGGGCAUUAGAGGUCCCGCCAUGGCCCGGCGGUCAGCCUCGCUGUGCCCAAGGCUCGCGACCCACAUCGACCGGCCGGCCGGCCGGGAGAACCAGCAUCCGGAACUGGUGCCCGAGGCGUGGCUCUGUGCUGAGUAGGCACGCGGGGCACCAGCUGCCUCGGUCCGGCGGCUCCGCGCUCUGCCCUGCUGUGGGCCUGGUGGCAGAACUCAUAAAUCACCCAUUUGCUGAAUCAGUGAUUUGACUUUUGUGGGCCUCCUGUGCACCAGGCAGUGGCUAGACAAGAGAGGUGCCCAGGUGAGACAUGGCCCUGUGUGGCCCAGGAGCCGCUUCCCCACCUGAGCAAUGGAACUGGCAGCAGCCGACUGUCCUGGCAGUGCUGCACAUACAUGCCUUUAUCUGCAGGCCACCUCCUCCUGGCGUCUCCUCAGCUUUCCAAUUCUUGUUCUUGACUUCAGAAAGAACUUUGGUGAGGUGAUGGGCCUGCCUCCGAGUACCAGGAGUACCAGGUUCUGACUGAUGAUGGCAAUGAACUGUCCAUCUCGAGUCACCUCGCACUCAUCAGCUGUUCACCAUGACAUGGUGCUGUGCCACUCUGGCCUUGGCAGAUGGAAGAGACAUGCCCGCCCCGGAGUCAACCUGUGCAGUUUGGGUGAGGAGGCAGUCCUAGACUCCCACCCCUGCCUCAGAAGCAGCUCCUCUGCUCACGAGCCAAAGCCGCCCGGAAGUCCCUUCCCGGGGUCAGUGCCGCUUGGGUGUCGGAUGCCCACCUGCCCAAGCUUGGCGGUCUCCACAUGUAAGUUCAGUGGCAGAAAUGUCUUUCUGCGGGGCCUGAAAGAGCUUUAUAGUUUUCUGUUAGCAAACAAUGUGAGAGUGUCGCACAUUUUGUCGGUAACAUUUGGAAUGUUUACUUUCAUGACGGGAUUUUAG
rnacentral:lncRNA from 1 species